rnacentral:rRNA from 1 species
AUUGAACGCUGGCGGCAGGCCUAACACAUGCAAGUCGAGCGGGGUUUUCGGACCUAGCGGCGGACGGGUGAGUAAUGCGUAGGAAGCUACCCGAUAGAGGGGGAUACCAGUUGGAAACGACUGUUAAUACCGCAUAAUGUCUACGGACCAAAGUGUGGGACCUUCGGGCCACAUGCUAUCGGAUGCGCCUACGUGGGAUUAGCUAGUUGGUGGGGUAAUGGCUCACCAAGGCGGCGAUCCCUAGCUGGUUUGAGAGGAUGAUCAGCCACACUGGAACGGAGACACGAUCCAGACUCCUACGGGAGGCAGCAGUGGGGAGUAUUGGACAAUGGGAGCAAGCCUGAUCCAGCCAUGCCGCGUGUGUGAAGAAGGCCUUCGGGUUGUAAAGCACUUUCAGUAGGGAGGAAGGGUGUUGUGUUAAUAGCACAGCAUUUUGACGUUACCUACAGAAGAAGCACCGGCUAACUCUGUGCCAGCAGCCGCUGUAACAC